AAAGAAGUUAACGCCUUUUUAUUUAUUUUUUAACAGCGCAGUAAAAGAAAACAAACACAGGUCUCCUGCGGAAGCCAGACUGAGCAGGAGGGCUCCGGGAAUCGUUCUGACCACGCAGAAAGACCUCAGGACUCGGCAAGGACAUUUGAUAAAAACCAGCCUAACUUGGAAGGAUGGGCAUAGAAGACAAAAAUGAAAAUGAAAUU
rnacentral:lncRNA from 1 species